GCCUCCACCCAUCUCAGCCUCCUGAAUGCCCAGCCAGAGCCACUCGACCAGGAAGCCCACACACCCCUCGGUGCUGUGUCUGGGUGCU